GAUGAACGCUGGCGGCGUGCCUAAUACAUGCAAGUCGAGCGAACGGACGAGAAGCUUGCUUCUCUGAUGUUAGCGGCGGACGGGUGAGUAACACGUGGAUAACCUACCUAUAAGACUGGGAUAACUUCGGGAAACCGGAGCUAAUACCGGAUAAUAUUUUGAACCGCAUGGUUCAAAAGUGAAAGACGGUCUUGCUGUCACUUAUAGAUGGAUCCGCGCUGCAUUAGGUAGUUGGUAAGGUAACGGCUUACCAAGGCAACGAUGGAUAGCCGACCUCAGAGGGUGAUUGCACAGCCUGUAACUGAGACAGAGCCCAGACUCCUAGGGGAGGAAGCAGUCGGGAAUCUUACGCAAUGGGCGAAAGCCUGACGGAGCAAAGCCGCGUGAGUGCUGAUGGUCUUCGGCUCGUAAAACUCUGUUAUUCGGGAAGAACAUAUGUGUAAGUAACUGUGAACAUAUUGACGGUACCUACACAGAAAGCCACGGCUAACUACGUG
rnacentral:rRNA from 1 species